AGUUCUGGAGAAAUAAUUUACUCUGCCUGCCUCAAUAUUUGUCAAUGGGUUGCAGCCUCAAAUAUUUGUCUUUCU